AAUACCGUCCCUACCUCCCUGCAACGUUGACAAGCACAGUUUUGGACAGAUUACUCUGCAGUCUCCCUGGGCCUCUGUGGGUGGAGUCUCAGUCCCGGGACUGACAGGGUUCAGGUGUGAUUGGUGCUCAGUGAUUCUGGAGGGACUUGGUGACUGUUGACAACGCAAACUUCUGCGGACCCAAGACUCUACACUCUUCAGAGUAGGGGUGAAGGCACGUCAGCGACCAGACAAGGAGUCAUGAAGAGACAGCGGGGAGCCCUGCUGGGGCUUCUGUGGCUGCAGGUUUGCUGGGUGAGAGGGAUAGACGUGGAGCAGACACCUGCAGCCCUGAGCCUCCAGGAGGGAGCCAGCUCUACCCUGAGGUGCAAUUUUUCCAGCUCGGUGACCAAUGUGCAGUGGUUCCGACAGAACCCCGGGGGCGGCGGCCUCACCCGGCUUUUUUACAUCGCUUCAGGGAUGAAGCAGGAUGGGAGGUUGAACUGCACGGUGAACCCUAAGGACCGGCACAGCAGCCUGCACAUCAUGGCCUCCCAGCAGGAAGACUCAGCCACCUAUCUGUGUGCGGUGCAGGCACAGUGCUCCCUGCUGCUCUGCAGCCUGUCCCCAAACUGCAGCUGGGCCCCCAGCCCAGCCUCCUCCAGCAGGAAGCCUUCCUAGUGCAGCCGCAUUUGCACAGCGUGCUUGGGACCAUCUGGGGCUUUGCAGGCUCAAAGCUGGUGGCGGUAAACCUUGCCAAUAAAU